CGCGCCGUUGUCAUGGUAACCCGUAUCCGCCUUUUUGCCUUGGAAGCGCGCUUGUGGCCUGUUCCUCCAGGCAUUACGUAGAAUCGCAACCCUUUCAAGAAGCCUGUUUUUAUAAAACAAGGAAACUGAGGACUGCAGAUGUUAAGUAGUGAAGAGGGAAAAUCGAGGCCUUCAGAUUUGAGUCUUGGACUAGAAAAACACCACUGACUCUCCUGGACCUCCAGCUUGCAGAGGGACCACUCAGCCUCAAAAAUCAAGACCCUUGCAAAUGAAAGUCUUAAGAGCUCUACAAUGAUUUGUGAAGAAAAUUAAAGAUACACAAUUUAUAGGAAGAAAAAUUUCGGAGGUAAUGCUUAAUG